AAAUAAGAAGCGAAUAUAUUGCAAUCAGUUUCGACCUGACAAACUUGGUGUUAUACACCCUUAUUUA
rnacentral:tRNA from 1 species